GCAAACUGCACGGUUCAUUGCUAUUUGUUUCUGUGUUCAGCAGUUGCUGUGUUCCAUUCUGCGAAAAGUAUUGAGGGCACAGAGUUCGAACUUCAGAAUCAAGACUCGAACUACGAAGCGACAUUUAAAUAUGCUAUGAAUACGUGCAAAAUCAAGGAAAGAGUUGCAGAUGAUGAAAUUGAGAGAAUUGUGAAUAAAUUUCUACCUUCCACUAAAACGGAGAAGUGUUUUGUUGCAUGCUGGCUUGAAUCAUUUCACGUGAUAAACAAUCGACGUUUCUUUCGUGAUCAAUAUGUUAAAUUGUCCACGUAUGGCCAAGAUUUCGAUGGAAAUAAGCAGAAAAAAUUAGAACAAAUUUUAACUGGAUGUAAGAUACCCGACUGCAAACUUGAACGGUAUAUUUAUUUGAAUUUUUGAAUGAAUUCAUUAUUUCAGCACGUAUUCAGUUUUAUGCUACGUUUUACUCUUAAUUCAUCCUAGAUGCGAACUUGCCUAUCAAAUAAUGAAGUGUGUGUAUGACGGCGCAAAGAAAUUGGGUUUAAAUCCAAAAGAUUUAUAAAAAGUUUUUCUGAACACACGUUUAUGUAUGUGUAUGUAUGUAUUAUGUGUGGAUCAUUGAUUGAUGUACUUUUUUUUAAAAAAUAAACCUUGAUAAAAACCCAAGUUUUGUUCUUAAAAAAACAUUUUUUUUAUUGUGAACCGGCCAUAUAUCCUGGAUAAUCAAUGAGGAGAAAUUCUGAUUUAUUGUUGUUGUGGUGGUCGUCGUGGC